rnacentral:lncRNA from 1 species
CAGGUCUAACCACAGCUCUAUAAAAUUUCCCCUUGAGUUUCUGUGGAACUUUCUUGUCACACAGGACUCCUGAUGCAAGCCUCCACUUUGACCAUUCCGCUUCUACACGAUGAGUGACGUCCCCGUCAAUCUCUCCGUCAACCUGAAUCAUCGACCCAAGAUAUCUCACACUAUCCCUCUUGGCGAUGACCUGAGAUCCAAUCAUCAUGUCCCUGCCUACUUCGCUC